GGCGUCCUUGUACAGCAUGUACGGCGUGCCCGUUUCAGUCUGGGACUCGAUGAUGGCGUACCACACCUGCUGAGCCUUCACCACACGCUUAGCCCGGCCCUCCUUCUCAUAUCUUAGGAACGGACAGGAGUUGAGGAAGCUUCUCAAAUUCUUCUCCCCAACACUCGUCCAAACCGGGACACUCAUAAGGGCACAUGAGAGACCAGUCCUAAAAGAGCAAGACAGAAGUGAAGUAAGUUACGAACCACUUUCAACCAAAUGAAUAAUCAUUUGGUUACCUUUACGAACCUGAUUGCUUUCUACACGUUUCAUGAAGAGGUCUGGGAUCCACAUAGCAAAGAAAAGGUCUCUGGCCCUCUGCUCCUCUUUACCCGUGUUCUUCUUUAACUCCAGAAAGUCAAAUACAUCGAAAUGCCACGGCUCUAAGUAGAUGGCGAAUGCACCGGGUCUCUGUCAAAAUGAAGGAAGAAUUUUUUUAUUUUUUAAACAAUUAAUAGUUAAUCUCUCAAGUUCUACUUUGAGGUUUGACAAUUUGGAAAAAGGUCAAAAUGUAUUAAGUCAGUGUGCUUAUCUGAUAAGACUUACUCUAAGUGAGCAGCUAAAGAAGAUUCCCAUAGUUGGG